AACGAACGUUGGCGGCGUGCUUAACACAUGCAAGUCGAACGCGAACGGUUUCUUCGGAGACCUAGUAGAGUGGCGCACGGGUGAGUAACGCGUAAGUAAUCUACCCUCGCAUCAGGGAUAACUACGGGAAGCUGUAGCUAAUACCGGAUACGUUCUCCUAUUUACGGACUGGAGAAGAAAGAUGGCCUCUUCAUGAAAGCUAUCGUGCGGGGAGGAGCUUGCGUACCAUUAGCUAGUUGGUAGGGUAAUGGCCUACCAAGGCGACGAUGGUUAGCGGGUCUGAGAGGAUGAUCCGCCACACUGGAACUGAAACACGGACCAGACUCCUACGGGAGGCAGCAGUGAGGAAUACUGCGCAAUGGGGGAAACCCUGACGCAGCGACGCCGCGUGGAUGAUGAAGGCCUUAGGGUCGUAAAAUCCUGUCAGGUGGGAAGAAGUGGUUAUAGACUAAUACUCUAUUUCUUUGACGGUACCACCAAAGGAAGCACCGGCUAACUCCGU
rnacentral:rRNA from 1 species